UGCGGGAUCGUUUAAUGGUAGGACAGAGGACUUUGGAUCCUCCAAUCAUGGUUCGAUUCCAUGUCCCGCAGCCA
rnacentral:tRNA from 1 species